GGAGUUAGCCGGUGCUUCUUCUGUGAGUGAUGUCCUUCCUGCCGGUUAUUGACCCGCAGGCCUUCUUCCUCACUGAAAGUGCUUUACAACCCGAAGGCCUUCUUCACACACGCGGCAUGGCUGGAUCAGGGUUGCCCCCAUUGUCCAAUAUUCCCCACUGCUGCCUCCCGUAGGAGUCUGGCCCGUGUCUCAGUCCCAGUGUGGCUGAUCAUCCUCUCAGACCAGCUACGGAUCGUCGCCUUGGUGAGCCGUUACCUCACCAACCAGCUAAUCCGACAUAGGCUCAUCCGAUAGCGCGAGGCCCGAAGGUCCCCCGCUUUCCCCCGUAGGGCGUAUGCGGUAUUAGCCUGGGUUUCCCCAGGUUAUCCCCCACUACCGGGCAGAUUCCUAUGCAUUACUCACCCGUCCGCCGCUCGCCACCAGGGAGCAAGCUCCCCGUGCUGCCGCUCGACUUGCAUGUGUUAGGCCUGCCGCCAGCGUUCAAUCUGAACCAAGAUCAAAUUCUGA
rnacentral:rRNA from 1 species